rnacentral:rRNA from 1 species
CACGUAGGGGGCGAGCGUUGUCCGGAUUUAUUGGGCGUAAAGAGCUCGUAGGCGGCUCAGUAAGUCAGGUGUGAAAACUCCAGGCUCAACCUGGAGACGCCACCUGAUACUGCUGUGGCUAGAGUCCGGUAGGGGAGCAUGGAAUUCCUGGUGUAGCGGUGGAAUGCGCAGAUAUCUGGAGGAACACCGGUGGCGAAGGCGGCAUCCUGGACGGUAACUGACGCUGAGACGCGAAAGCGUGGGGAGCAAACAGG